UACGAAGGGGGCGAGCGUUGUUCGGCAUUCCUGGGCGUAAAGGGCGCGCAGGCGGCCCUUGAAGUCAGGCGUGAAAUCCCCGGGCUCAACCUGGGAAUGGCAUUUGGGACUGCAAGGCUGGAGUGUGGCAGAGGAGACUGGAAUUCCUGGUGUAGCAGUGAAAUGCGUAGAUAUCAGGAGGAAUACCGAUGGCGAAGGCAGGUCUCUGGGCUGACACUGACGCUCAUGCACGAAAGCGUGGGGAGCAAACAGG
rnacentral:rRNA from 1 species